CCGAGUUUACAACUCCCAACCCCUGUGAACCUUACCUAUACGUUGCUUCGGCGGCUUAGCCCCGCCGCUCCCCCGUAAACAGGACGGCCCGCCGAGGACCCCUAAACUCAUGUUUUCAGUGCAGUAAUUCUUCUGAGUGCAAACCAAAAAAUAAAUCA
rnacentral:misc_RNA from 1 species